CGGUAACCAACCUGCUAAGCUGCCGACGGUGUACACAGGGAUACCUUACACGACCCCGUACGGCAUCAAAGUAUCCCAAUCGAGGCCUAUCUGAGCUUGAGCUGGGGCGAGGAGGCCACUCUCCCACUUCUCCAACCGGCGCUUUGCUGUCUUCUCCCCCCGGACCGGCAAGGGUUAUCCCAGUCCCCACUGGAAACCACCUUUGACUACAGCAGCC